rnacentral:rRNA from 1 species
GAUGAACGCUGGCGGCGUGCCUAAUACAUGCAAGUCGAGCGAACAGACGAGGAGCUUGCUCCUCUGACGUUAGCGGCGGACGGGUGAGUAACACGUGGAUAACCUACCUAUAAGACUGGGAUAACUUCGGGAAACCGGAGCUAAUACCGGAUAAUAUAUUGAACCGCAUGGUUCAAUAGUGAAAGACGGUUUUGCUGUCACUUAUAGAUGGAUCCGCGCCGCAUUAGCUAGUUGGUAAGGUAACGGCUUACCAAGGCAACGAUGGGAAGCCGACCUGAGAGGGUGAUCGGCCAGACGGGAACUGAGACACGGUCCAGACUCCUACGGGAGGCAGCAGUAGGGAAUCUUCCGCAAUGGGCGAAAGCCUGACGGAGCAACGCCGCGUGAGUGAUGAAGGUCUUCGGAUCGUAAAACUCUGUUAUUAGGGAAGAACAAAUGUGUAAGUAACUAUGCACGUCUUGACGGUACCUAAUCAGAAAGCCACGGCUAACUACGUG